rnacentral:rRNA from 1 species
UACGUAGGGUGCAAGCGUUGUCCGGAAUUAUUGGGCGUAAAGAGCUCGUAGGCGGUUUGUAGCGUCUGCUGUGAAAACCCGAGGCUCAACCUCGGGCCUGCAGUGGGUACGGGCAGACUAGAGUGCGGUAGGGGAGAUUGGAAUUCCUGGUGUAGCGGUGGAAUGCGCAGAUAUCAGGAGGAACACCAAUGGCGAAGGCAGAUCUCUGGGCCGUAACUGACGCUGAGGAGCGAAAGCAUGGGGAGCGAACAGG